AGGACGAACGCUGGCGGCGUGCUUAACACAUGCAAGUCGAGCGGAAAGGCCCUUCGGGGUACUCGAGCGGCGAACGGGUGAGUAACACGUGAGCAACCUGCCCUUAGCUCCGGGAUAGCUCCGGGAAACCGGAAUUAAUACCGGAUACGACCACAGCCGACAUCUGCUGUGGUGGAAAGGAUUCCGGCUAAGGAUGGGCUCGCGGCCUAUCAGCUAGUUGGUGGAGUAACGGCCCACCAAGGCGACGACGGGUA
rnacentral:rRNA from 1 species